GGGGUGUGCUUGGGCGGGAAGUGGGUGGUGAGGGCCGCUCUGGGCUCAGCGUUCCCCACCUGGAAUGCGUCCUGGCUUCGGCUGGCCCGGCCCAACCCUCAGCGGCCGCGGUGCCCAGGCCCACUCCUUCCGCGCCUGGAAACGUGAGACGGGUCACUGAGGACGACGUAGGCAAACUUUGCAGAGCACGUUGCCACCUGUUGGAGUAGCCGCUCCAGCCCCAGUCGAAAUGCACGGCCGAACAAUGGCAGUUCUGAGUGGCUCAGGGGCCCACACUUUCUUUAAAACCGAUGCACUCGUAGUAAUAUUUCUUAUGCCCCACAUCCAGAGGCCUGUGCUCACCACCUCAGCAGUGCCCGGGGAGGUUCGCCAGGCGUGGGCAGGCUCUCCCUUGAAAGCACCUGACCUGGUUCUACCUUGCACUGGGGCUGAAUGGUAAUUAAUUUUUUUAUUUGUGUUUUUGAGAUAAGGUCUCUCUGGCCGACCUGGAACUCCCUAAAACCAUGCUGGUUUACAUACUACCUGGCUCUGCCUCACAAAUGCUGGGGUUAAAGGUGGGCCCCACCGCGCCACACUGUAGCUAAUUUAAAAAAAAAAAAAUUACUGAAGUCAUGAGACCUACAAAUUUCAGGCAGUCCAGAAGGAAAGUGUGUGGAGACAGAGAAAGGGAAUUACAUGGGAAUCUCUUAUUGUAAUGCAUGAACAGAUUUCACAAGAAAAGGGAACAGGACUGGACCGCUGGCUGUUCCUUCUUUGAUCCCAGGCAUGAUUUCAGCUUGUAGAAUAAAUGAGAAAUGCCUGUUGGUUUAAUUAAAAGAACCGCAUUG
rnacentral:lncRNA from 1 species